UGAGGAAUAUUGCGCAAUGGGGGCAACCCUGACGCAGCGACGCCGCGUGAGUGAGGAAGGCCUUCGGGUCGUAAAGCUCUGUCAAAGGGAAAGAAAUGUAUAAUGGCUAAUACCUGUUAUAUUUGACGGUACCCUUAAAGGAAGCACCGGCUAACUCCGUGCCAGCAGCCGCGGUAAUACGGAGGGUGCAAGCGUUGUUCGGAAUCACUGGGCGUAAAGGGCGCGCAGGCGGUUUGGUAAGUCAGAUGUGAAAGCCCACGGCUUAACCGUGGAAGUGCAUUUGAAACUGCCAGACUUGAGUAUCAGAGGGGAAAGUGGAAGUCCCGGGGUAGAGGGGAAAGUCGUAGAUAUCGGGAGGAAUACCGGUGGCGAAGGCGACUUUCUGGCUGAAUACUGACGCUGAGGCGCGAAAGCGUGGGGAGCAAACA
rnacentral:rRNA from 1 species